GUUUAUUGAAUCAAAUGCCCAAAUCAUGAAAUCAACCAAUCCCAUUUCUGAUUUUUCCCAAAUCGUAGAACGCUGCUGCCUACUGGAAGUCUGCAAAAGCCCUUUUCCAAUUUCUUCAAUUUUCCUUCGCCACAAUCGUCCCUGCCCUGCGCGGCUGCACUGGCCACAUAGUACACAUGAGAAACGACAGUGUCGCUUGCCAGAUUGCUGGUUCGCCCUACUCAAAUAUGGUCGAUUUUUAUAUUCUUGUAUAGUUUAUCUUUGUGACUCUGUGUGUUUGUUUAAUGGGUUAAUUUUAUUUGGUGCUUAAUAGCUUAAGUAAUGUAAAAUAAUGUAAAAUUUGUCUCUAAAAUUUGGAUUUAAAGGUUUUUUCUGACCCCGAUUCACGUCACAUGUAAGUGUAAUUAUAACUCAUAAGUUCACCAAAUUGUUUUCACUUUUCAGUGUCUAUUGACUAUUAUGAUUUAUGUAUUUAAUUAGAAAUGGGUUUUUUGCCCAAAUUUGUAUUAUGUAUUUAAUUAGCAAGUACAAUGGUUCACUGGGUCGGAUUAGUUUUGGUCUAACACUUCCUCUUCUGACUUGUUCUGCCCAAAUUUUUUCACUAUAAUGAACGAGAAAAUAGGUCUGUACCUGCACACGAGAGUGACAAGACACUCCUUCCUUCGCCCGUUCGCCGUUUCGUUGCCUCUUUGUAUAAUAGUAUGUGCCAAGUGCUAACUGCUAAAUUGGAAAUUUUAAUUUUAUUGUAUGUGUUAACUGCUGAACACCAUGUUUAAAAUUAAGGGUAUCAACUUGGCGUGAAAUUGACAUCUCCCCAUAGACACUGAUAGAGUGUCCAAAUUUGGAGCAGAAUCGCAGAAUUCUUUGUCCACUUGGCGACCAAGUUCUUUGGUUCGAGCCAAUAUUAAUGCCAAAGGAUUCCUUUCUCAGGUCAGUGACUUAAGUUAAUGUUAACUAUGUUAUGAUUUAUUUAUUUGGGAAUUAAAAAUUUGCGAAUUGUGAUUUAUGAAUUAUGAUAAGUAAUUUAUGUUUUAUGAGUUAUGAUUAUUGAUUCGAGAAAAUUGUGAUUUAUGAUUAGUAAUUUAUGUUUUGACGAGGAAUGAUUAAUGAUUUGGGAAUUUAUGUUUACAAAUUUAUGUUUGUGAAUUUGAUUUCUGAUAAGUAAUUUAUGUUUUGUAAUUGAAAAAUAAAUUGGGGCAUUUUGCAGUAAUGGAACGAUUUUUUCAACUAAAACGAAAGUCCAUACCCAAUUCUUCUACUUCUAGUUGUGCAUCUAGUCCUGCCACGGAUUCUAGUCGAGCACAAGAGUUAUUGAAUAACACAAAGAAGUCUGGGGCUCAAUUCAAU
rnacentral:lncRNA from 1 species